AUGAUUUGAAGGCGCGUUUCCCUCAUGGAAAGGAUACUGCACACGCGGCUCGGAUAAUAUCAAUCUAUGAUAAUCAUAUUACAAGUUAUAAAUGGUGAAGAAUGUUCAGCGGCGCCGUGGAGAGGAAUGAAUGCGCAUCUGAUAGCUGCCGGCUAGCAAAUUAGCUCCGCUCUGGACCAGGGAUGAUGCAAUGUUGUCAUGGAGAGAUGCUCUGGAUACAGGAGUGAGCUGAUGAGACCCCGGGAGAAGACCUCUCCCCCUCCACUGCCUCCAGUCUUCCAGAUCUCCACCCGGAACUGCUUCCCUCCCCUCCGCGAGAUGGAACGUGACGCCGUGAUCAUCAGAGACUCCAUCGUACGGCCGUGCACACUCACUGUUUUCCGGGUGCUCGUGUUCUCGAUAAUUCUGAGCAGAUACCCACGAUCCUGAUGGGUGUCGAGAGCAUCGGCGCUUUCAUGCUGCACUUGGGGGUGAAUGACACCAAGCUGCGGCAGACUGAGACUCUGAAGAGGGAAUUCAGGAGCCUGAUUGAGAUGGUAUGCAGCACAUAGAGCUGUAGUCAAGUUCAGCUUUGUCGAGUCCA